AGAGUUUGAUCAUGGCUCAGGACGAACGCUGGCGGCGUGCCUAAUGCAUGCAAGUCGAGCGGGCUACGGUCUUCGGACUAUGUAGCUUAGCGGCGAACGGGUGAGUAACACGUAGGUGAUCUACCCUUCAGAGGAGGACAACCUCAGGAAACUGAGGCUAAACCUUCAUACGUUCACUGGUAGGGAUACUGGUGAAGAAAGAGUUACCUUAGUGGUAGCUGCUGAAGGAUGAGCCUGCGGCCCAUCAGGUAGUUGGUGAGGUAACGGCUCACCAAGCCGAAGACGGGUAACCGGUCUGAGAGGAUGUCCGGUCACACUGGGACUGAGACACGGCCCAGACUCCUACGGGAGGCAGCAGCAGGGAAUCUUGGGCAAUGGGCGAAAGCCUGACCCAGCGACGCCGCGUGGAGGAAGAAGUCCUUCGGGGCGUAAACUCCUGGACUGGGGGACGAGGAAGGACGGUACCCCAGUAGAAAGGGACGGCUAACUACGUGCCAGCAGCCGCGGUAAAACGUAGGUCCCGAGCGUUGUUCGGAUUCACUGGGUGUAAAGGGCGCGUAGGUGGUUGUCUGUGUCUCAUGUGAAAACUCAGGGCUCAACUCUGAGAUUGCGUGGGAAACUAGGCAGCUAGAGGACGGUAGAGGGGAGUGGAAUUCCCGGUGUAGCGGUAAAAUGCGUAGAUAUCGGGAGGAACACCGGUGGCGAAGGCGGCUCUCUGGGCCGAUCCUGACACUGAGGCGCGAAAGCUAGGGGAGCGAACCGGAUUAGAUACCCGGGUAGUCCUAGCCGUAAACGAUGGGUGCUAGGUGUUG
rnacentral:rRNA from 1 species